rnacentral:lncRNA from 1 species
AACCAGCAGCAAGGAAGCAAGAAGUUUUGUCUGAAAUGAAAAAGUGUGGAUCACCCCAGAAGAGCUCUCCUCUUGCAACAUUCUCCCUCCUGUUCCUCAGAGCAUUUACACAGCUUGCAAGGCAGGGCUUUUCUCCUCACAAAGACUUCCCUCAUCUAAAGUUCAUUCUCCUCAUUCUGAACUUGUCCACACACCUAUAGAGGAUCUCAGGAAAUACAGAGGUCUAACACCACAGGCUUGAAGAACUGUAUCACCUCUCAGCUAUGGUCAGGAUUUGAGGAAAAAUGUCAACUGUCACUCCAGAUCUCAUAGCUGACUCUGGAGGACCCCCACUGCCCAGAUUUGGGACCUUCUGGGUGAACUGUGCCUUGGGUUUCCUUUGCAGACACUGGGACCUCAAGACAGGGAGGACAUGGCUGGUGCUCUCCAGUGUAUGGAGUGCCCAUACGCUGCCAGCAGAAGAGCUGAGAAGUGUGCCUGCAGUUCCUGAUGGAGACAUGGCUCAAGUUUGGCUGUAAUGAGCAGCGUUCAGGGAUUGUGGAUUGCUUUACACUGCUGAUGAGUCAAGCCAAAAGAGAAGGAGAGCCUCUGAGCCGGGACCUGCAGCAGCUUCCAAGCGUGAGUCAUAGUCACUGGGGUGUCCAUUCUCCGCAUCUUCUGGGAAUCACAGAGUCAAGAAGGCUUGUCACAGACAACAGUUCUAUCGGGAAGCCCUGAUCUAAAACAAGAAAUGACAGAGAUCAGGGGAUGAUCAACCAACACAAGCGCAGACAGCUGCAAAAGUAAUUGAGUUUGAGCUGUGAAUACUUAGCUGAGAAGAGAUAGUAAGUGUUAUUCACCCAUUUGCUACCACCGUUAAACAAAAUGCCUAGAAAUACAAAAUAAAGGAAUCAAUAGGAAUGUGUCA